UGUGCUGUGUGCUCUACCAUACACUGUGCUCUACCAUGAUGUGUGCUCAGCCAUGAUGUGUGCUCAACAAUGAUGUGUGCUCGAUCAUAAUGUGUGCUCAACUGUGCUGUAUGCUCUACACAAUGUGACCUCGACCAUGAUGAUUAAGUGCUCGACUGUGCUGUGUGCUCUACCAUCAUACACUGUGCUCUUACCAUGAUGUGUGCUCAACCAUGAUGUGUGCUCGAUCAUAACGUGUGCUCGACUAUGGUAAGUGCUCAACUGUGCUGUGUGCUCUACCAUAAACUGUGCUCUACCAUGAUGUUGCUCUAUCAUGAUACGUGCUCGUGCGAUCAUGAUGUGGGUUUGACCAUGCUGCUGCACUGAUCACUAACAAGCAACAGUGGCAAAAUCCGAAAAUUGCUCUUGCUGGUUUUUGCCAACUCAAGAAAAAUUUUGUGAACAGAGGCAAGGCAAUCAUGACGAGUCAGGAAACGCUUGACAAAGGCAACUGCUUUACAUCAAUUCUUUUCUCAAGCAAACAAGUCGACAAGUUCGUCAUCCAUUCGUCCUCUGCAUCACUGGACGGUGUAUAUGAAAUAAGAAACGUGCAACCUGCACACAUAUCAAUA